AGUGAACGCUGGCGGCAGGCCUAACACAUGCAAGUCGAACGGCAGCACAGUAGCAUCUUGCUCUUCCGGGUUGCGAGUCGGGGGCGUGAGAAGUAUACAGCGGUCUCUACUUUUUCGUGGGAGAUCACGUAGGUAAAUUUACUAUCAUACCGCACACCCUCUGGGGGUGAGCGGAGGAGAUCUUCACCUCUUGCGCUUUUCUAUGAGCCGAUGUCGGAUUAGCUAGUUGGCGGGGUAAAGGCCCACCAAGGCGACGAUCCGUAGCUGGUCUGAGAGGAUGAUCAGCCACACUGGAACUGAGACACGGUCCAGACUCCUACGGGAGGCAGCAGUGGGGAAUAUUGGACAAUGGGCGAAAGCCUGAUCCAGCCAUACCGCGUGGGUGAAGAAGGCCUUCGGGUUGUAAAGCCCUUUUGUUGGGAAAGAAAAGCAGCAGGUUAAUACCCCGCGGUAAUGACGGUACCCAAAGAAUAAGCACCGGCUAACUUCGUG
rnacentral:rRNA from 1 species